rnacentral:lncRNA from 1 species
GCCUGUACAAAGUUAUGAAUAUGACAGUUGUGUUCCACUUGUGAGGUGUAAUUGAGAUUUCGGUUUUGCCAUGUUAUAACGGACUUUCCAUUUUGAAUUUCGAUAUGAUACGGAAUUACAAGAGAUGUAAUUUAUACAAAACGGUAACAUUUAACACUGACCAAUAAACCAUUGAAAUGAGACUAAAGACAGAUAAAACCUAAAAGUU